AUGAACGCUGGCGGCGUGCCUAAUACAUGCAAGUCGAGCGAACGGACGAGAAGCUUGCUUCUCUGAUGUUAGCGGCGGACGGGUGAGUAACACGGGGAUAACCUACCUAUAAGACUGGGAUAACUUCGGGAAACCGGAGCUAAUACCGGAUAAUAUUUUGAACCGCAUGGUUCAAAAGUGAAAGACGGUCUUGCUGUCACUUAUAGAUGGAUCCGCGCUGCAUUAGCUAGUUGGUAAGGUAACGGCUUACCAAGGCAACGAUGCAUAGCCGACCUGAGAGGGUGAUCGGCCACACUGGAACUGAGACACGGUCCAGACUCCUACGGGAGGCAGCAGUAGGGAAUCUUCCGCAAUGGGCGAAAGCCUGACGGAGCAACGCCGCGUGAGUGAUGAAGGUCUUCGGAUCGUAAAACUCUGUUAUUAGGGAAGAACAUAUGUGUAAGUAACUGUGCACAUCUUGACGGUACCUAAUCAGAAAGCCACGGCUAACUACGUG
rnacentral:rRNA from 1 species